CAGUAGCCGCGGUAAUACGUAGGUGGCAAGCGUUAUCCGGAAUUAUUGGGCGUAAAGCGCGCGUAGGCGGUUUUUCAAGUCUGAUGUGAAAGCCCACGGCUCAACCGUGGAGGGUCAUUGGAAACUGGGAAACUUGAGUGCAGAAGAGGAGAGUGGAAUUCCACGUGUAGCGGUGAAAUGCGUAGAGAUGUGGAGGUACACCAGUGGCGAAGGCGACUCUCUGGUCUGUAACUGACGCUGAGGAGCGAAAGCGUGGGGAGCGAACAGGAUUAGAGACCCCAGUAGUCCCUGUCUCUUAUAC
rnacentral:rRNA from 1 species